rnacentral:misc_RNA from 1 species
GACGAAGAACGCAGCGAAAUGCGAUACGUAGUGUGAAUUGCAGAAUUCAGUGAAUCAUCGAAUCUUGAACGCACAUUGCACCUCUCGGUAUUCCGGGAGGUAUGCCUGUUCGAGCGUCAUUUGUACCCUCAAGCUCUGCUUGGUGUUGGGUGUUUGUUCCGCCUCUGUGUGUGAACUCGCCUCAAAACAAUUGGCAGCCGGCGUACUUGUUUCGGAGCGCAGCACAUUUUGCGAUCCAGAUCAACGUACAGCGGCAUCCAAGAAGCCUUAUUUAACGCUCUUGACCUCGGAUCAGGUAGGGAUACCCGCUGAACUUAAGCAUAUCAAUAAGCGGAGGA